CACAGCUUCAAGAGGGACAUUUGCAGAUCAGGUGUUGCCAUGGAAUGCCUUCAGAUGCAGUCUCGGGAUGUCUUGACUGUUUCCUGUGGAUUCACAGAGCAGGUUCAGCUGUCCCUUGCAAUCCUGUUGCUCUGGACUACAUGCUAAUGCCCUCUGAUGUGCCAAAUGGGGAGAGAACCAGUUGCAUAUGCCAUGCUUUACCGGAGGGGAUAAAACCUAUGAAAAGCAGCAAGAAUUCCUUCAAGCCCCUCCUGACACAACUCACCUUCUGGGCACAGCAAAGAGAGCAAAGGAAACUGAUGACCUCUCACCCACAUCAGCACCCACGGCAGCAGCACCAGCGCAUUAACCCAGGCUGCUCUAGGAAUAUACAGCUGGA